GACGAACGCUGGCGGCGUGCCUACUACAUGCAAGUAGAACGCAGUUGCGAACGGGUGAGUAACGCGUAGGUAACUUCCUCAUAGCGGGGGAUAACUAUGGGAAACGAUAGCUAAUACCGCAUACUGUGAGAUGCACCGGCGUUGUAUUAGCUAGUUGGUGGGGUAAAGGCUCACCAAGGCGACGAUACAUAGCCGACCUGAGAGGGUGAUCGGCCACACUGGGGCUGGGGCACGGACCAGGCUGCUACGGGAGGCAGCAGUUGGGGAUCGUCGGCAAUGGGCGGAAGUCUGACCGGGCAACGCGGGGUUAGUGAAGAAGGUUUUCGGGUCGUAAAGCGCUGGUGUUGGGGAAGCGGUAACGAACCAGAAAGGGACGGCUAACUACGUGCCAGCCGCCGCGGUAAUAC
rnacentral:rRNA from 1 species